rnacentral:tRNA from 1 species
UCCCUGGUGGUCCACUGGCUAGGAUGCUGGGCUCCCAAUGCAGGGGGCCUGGGUUCAACCCCCGGUCAGGAAA